rnacentral:rRNA from 1 species
UACAGAGGUCUCAAGCGUUUGUUCGGAUUCAUUGGGCGUAAAGGGUGCGUAGGCGGCGCGGUAAGUCGGGUGUGAAAUCUUGGAGCUUAACUCCGAAACUGCAUUCGAUACUGCCGUGCUUGAGGACUGGAGAGGAGACUGGAAUUUACGGUGUAGCGGUGAAAUGCGUAGAUAUCGUAAGGAAGACCAGUGGCGAAGGCGGGUCUCUGGACAGUUCCUGACGCUGAGGCAACGAAGGCCAGGGGAGCAAACGGG